rnacentral:rRNA from 1 species
AUUGAACGCUGGCGGCAGGCCUAACACAUGCAAGUCGAGCGGAGCGGCGGACGGGUGAGUGAUGCCUAGGAAUCGGCCUGGUAGUGGGGGAUAACGUCAGGUAACGGGCGCUAAUACCGCAUACUAUCAGAUGAGCCUAGGUCGGAUUAGCUAGGUGGUGGGGUAAAGGCCUACCAAGGCAACGAUCCGUAUCUGGUCUGAGAGGAUGAUCAGUCACACUGGAACUGAGACACGGUCCAGACUCCGACGGGAGGCAGCAGUGGGGAAUAUUGGACAAUGGGGGAAAGCCUGAUCCAGCCAUGCCGCGUGUAUGAAGAAGGUCUUCGGAUUGUAAAGCACUUUAGGCUGGGAGGCGUUACCAGCAGAAUAAGCACCGGCUAACUUCGUGCCAGCAGCCGCGGUAAUUC